rnacentral:piRNA from 1 species
UGGGAUUUGCAGUGCGUCCCUGCCACAAAU